rnacentral:rRNA from 1 species
CUACGGGUCGCUCCAGGCGCGAAACCUUUACAAUGCACGAAAGUGUGAUAAGGGGAUCCAAAGUGCUUACACAUUGUGUGGGCUUUUGCCAAAGCUAAAUCCUUUGGCGAAUAAGUGGUGGGCAAGACUGGUGCCAGCCGCCGCGGUAACACCAGCGCCACAAGUGGCAACCAUGUUUAUUGGGCCUAAAGCGUUCGUAGCCGGUUUAAUAAAUCUUUUGUGAAAUCGUAUAGCUUAACUAUACGACGUGCAAGAGACACUGUUGAACUUGAGACCGGGAGGAGUUAGGGGUAUUCUUGGGGGAGCGGUAAAAUGUUAUAAUCCCUUGAAGACCACCUGUGGCGAAGGCGCCUAACUAGAACGGUUCUGACGGUGAGGGACGAAAGCCAGGGGAGCGAUCCGGAUUAGAUACCCUUGUAGUC